CCUGGCGGUAACCCUGACCUGCCCACAGAGGCUAAGAUAGGGACAAGGGCACUAGCUCAUGCACAGGCCAUUCAAGGGAGGCAGGCGUUUUCUUAAAGCACCUUCCUCCCCGGAUGUUUUAGGAACAGAGACGCUGUCACUUCAUGACAAGAGAAUACAAGAAUACGGGACAGAAAGUGAGAACGGGCUCUGGCAGAGGGAGAGGCACUUUCUGGCAGACACAGCCGUCAAGCAGUGCGGUGCUCCCUGCUCUCUCCAGCGGCUUUGAGGAGAAGAGAGCCACUCCUCUGUGUGCAGAGGGGCUGAUGUCAGCUCUGCCUCGGGGCAACCAGGAUAGCUAGGUCUCUGGUUCCCCGUAAAACAGUCUGUGGUUACUCAUCCGGCUGCAGCUAAGAGUCUAGAUGGUAAGAAGUGGUCAUUUCGUGUGUCAACUGGUUCACUGGAGGGUGACCUCGUGGAGAAAAGAGAAGCCAGAUAGGGGAGAGGAAGCAGCUGGAAUCUGAGAGAAGCUGGCCUGAUUCCUGAGUGAUGUCUGCCAUCGGCGAGAAGGGGACCGUAGAGGGGAGCAGGGAGAAAGCAAAUGAGGCAAGCAGGAGGGUCAAAGAAAACACUGCUCCAAAGAAGUAGCAGAGAAAGAAGAGAAAGGUGAGUACAAAUGGAGGCAGAAUGUGAAAUAAGGGCAGACAGGCAUAAUAAACAAGCAGGACCAGAGGUUCUAUAAUAGGCAUCUGCUGGGCUGGGUCACAGUGGGGAGGGUGGGUGCAGAACCCUGGAAUAUAGGUGGAUAGAGAGGAGAAAGGAAAAGAACAAAUUUAAACCCAUAGUCCCAGAAUAUGGCCUUUAAUAAAAUUGGGAUCUAGUUAGGUCACAGAGCAAAAAAGGUAUUUAUGAACCAAAGGCAAGAACAUGGAGGUGCCUGGCAUCAAUACUAGGCCUUUCCCUAGCUAGUACUUGCCUGCUCACCAAAUGAAUGAACUGACAAUGACUGGUGGACACCACAGGCAAUACCCUCACAGUCAAGGAAAGAUAGAACAAUGGAAAGUCUGGGUUCAUAUGGUAGCUGGAGGGAGCCAGUGGAUACAAGUCUCUAAAAAAUAAUUUAAUGUUAGCCAAAUCUGCCCAAUCAUAGUAAGCAGCUGGGAAGUUUGGUAAAAAUAUAAUGCCAAAACUAUACCUGUGUAUUAAAAUUGAACUUCAGCAGGUCUGGGUAAGGUCUGGAAAUCUUACCAAGCAUGCCAGGAGGAGGUUUUUAGAUGCAUCUGGAGUCUCAG